AGGAUGUUUUCAUUGAUCAAGAACGAAAGUAAGGGGAUCGAAGACGAUCAGAUACCGUCGUAGUCUUUACUAUAAACGAUGAGGACUGGGGAUCGGGCGUGGAAUUGCGAUGACCCGCCCGGCACCCUCCGGGAAACCAAAGUGUUUGCUUUCUGGGGGGAGUAUGGUCGCAAGGCUGAAACUUAAAGGAAUUGACGGAAGGGCAUCACCGGGUGUGGAGCCUGCGGCUUAAUUUGACUCAACACGGGAAAACUUACCAGGUCAGGACAUAGUGAGGAUUGACAGAUUGAGAGCUCUUUCUUGAUUCUAUGGUUGGUGGUGCAUGGCCGUUCUUAGUUGGUGGAGUGAUUUGUCUGGUUAAUUCCGUUAACGAGCGAGACCUGGGCGUGCUAAAUAGGGGCUAUUACCGUUUUUUUGGUAGUAACACUUUUUUGACCCUUCUUAGACGGACUGCGGGCGUCUAGUCCGCGGAAGCUCCAGGCAAUAACAGGUCUGAGAUGCCCUUAGAUGUUCUGGGCCGCACGCGUGCUACACUGAGCGGAUCAGCGGGUGAGGAUGCGCGAGAGCGUUUCCUAAUCCCCAAAUCCGCUCGUGCUGGGGAUAGAGGGUUGCAAUUCUCCCUCUUGAACGAGGAAUACCUUGUAAGCGUGGGUCAUCAUCCCGCGCUGAAUACGUCCCUGCCCUUUGUACACACCGCCCGUCGCUCCUACCGAUUGAGUGGUCCGGUGAGGCCUUGGGAUUGUCGUGAGGGGAGCGUUUGCGCUCGUUUCGUGACGAAAACUUGGUCGAACCUUAUCA
rnacentral:rRNA from 1 species